AUACUCCCCUGGCAGGGGAGACACCAUGAUCACGAAGGUGGUUUUCCCAGGUCCAGCUCGUCCACUGCACUGCUGAUAUGCUGACCCUAUGAUUUCUCCAAAUGCAGGAAACCAGACCAUGUAAUUUGUGGUAGGGGGGAGUGUCGAUGCUUUCCCCUA